rnacentral:rRNA from 1 species
CCUACGGGCGGCAGCAGUGAGGAAUAUUGGUCAAUGGACGAGAGUCUGAACCAGCCAAGUCGCGUGAAGGAUGACUGCCCUAUGGGUUGCAAACUUCUUUUAUAUGGGAAUAAAACGUUCCACGCGUGGGAUCUUGUAUGUACCAUAUGAAUAAGGAUCGGCUAACUCCGUGCCAGCAGCCGCGGUAAUACGGAGGAUCCGAGCGUUAUCCGGAUUUAUUGGGUUUAAAGGGAGCGUAGGCGGAUUGUUAAGUCAGUUGUGAAAGUCUGGGGCUCAACCGUAAAAUUGCAGUUGAAACUGGCAGUCUUGAGUACAGUAGAGGUGUGCGGAAUGCGUGGUGUAGCGGUGAAAUGCUUAGAUAUCACGAAGAACUCCGAUUGCGAAGGCAGUUCACUGGACUGCAACUGACACUGAGGCUCGAAAGUGUGGGUAUCAAACAGGAUUAGAUACCCCGGUAGUC